GACGAACGCUGGCGGCGUGCCUAAUACAUGCCAGUUGAGCGAUGAAGAUUGGUGCUUGCACCAAUUUGAAGAGCAGCGAACGGGUGAGUAACGCGUGGGGAAUCUGCCUUUGAGCGGGGGACAACAUUUGGAAACGAAUGCUAAUACCGCAUAAUAACUUUAAACAUAAGUUUUAAGUUUGAAAGAUGCAAUUGCAUCACUCAAAGAUGAUCCCGCGUUGUAUUAGCUAGUUGGUGAGGUAAAGGCUCACCAAGGCGAUGAUACAUAGCCGACCUGAGAGGGUGAUCGGACACAUUGGGACUGAGACACGGCCCAAACUCCUACGGGAGGCAGCAGUAGGGAAUCUUCGGCAAUGGACGAAAGUCUGACCGAGCAACGCCGCGUGAGUGAAGAAGGUUUUCGGAUCGUAAAACUCUGUUGGUAGAGAAGAACGUUGGUGAGAGUGGAAAGCUCAUCAAGUGACGGUAACUACCCAGAAAGGGACGGCUAACUACGUG
rnacentral:rRNA from 1 species